rnacentral:rRNA from 1 species
CGCAUCUGUGCAUGCAGCAUAUCAAUAAGCGGAGGAAAAGAAACUAACAAGGAUUCCCCUAGUAACGGCGAGUGAAGCGGGAAGAGCUCAAAUUUGAAAUCUUAAAGGGUUUCCCUUUACGAAUUGUAGUUUAAAGAAGUGUUUUCUGUUGAGGUUUUGGUAAAAGUUCUUUGGAAUAGGACAUCAUAGAGGGUGAGAAUCCCGUAUUUGACCUUUACUUUCAACUUUGUGAUACACUUUCAAAGAGUCGGAUUGUUUGGGAAUGCAGUCCAAAAUGGGUGGUAAAUUUCAUCUAAAGCUAAAUAUUGGCGAGAGACCGAUAGCGAACAAGUACCGUGAGGGAAAGAUGAAAAGAACUUUGAAAAGAGAGUUAAACAGUACGUGAAAUUGUCAAAAGGGAAGCGUUUGACACCAGUGUUGUUUUUCUGAAAAUCAACUAAAGAACUGUUUAUGCUAAGCUGUUUAGACUUUAUCAGCUAAUCUGUUUAGUUUUGAGCUUUUCUUUAAUGCACUUUUCAGUUAACAAGUCAACAUCAAUUUCUUUUGCUGUAAAAAAGCUUGAGGAAGGUGGCUUGAGAUUCGUCUUAAGUGUUUAUAGCCUCUUGCCUAUGCAGUCGGAGAGAUUGAGGUCUGCAGCGUAGAUCCUUCGGGGCUAAAUGCAUUUGUGCUAAGUUAUAGCAUUUUAUAGACAACUUGUUGACUAUGAUUUGUCUUGUAGCUUACUCGCUUAUGUUAUUUUACCUACGCUUAGGAUGUUGAAUCUGUGCGAGACUAC